rnacentral:tRNA from 5 species
GCCUGAAUAGUUUAAAGGUAAAACCUUAUUUUCAUACGAUAAUGAUGGGUAUUCGAUUUACCCUUCAGGCU